rnacentral:rRNA from 1 species
GGCGUAAAGAGCUCGUAGGUGGUUUGUCGCGUUGUUCGUGAAAUCUCACGGCUUAACUGUGAGCGUGCGGGCGAUACGGGCAGACUUGAGUACUGCAGGGGAGACUGGAAUUCCUGGUGUAGCGGUGGAAUGCGCAGAUAUCAGGAGGAACACCGGUGGCGAAGGCGGGUCUCUGGGCAGUAACUGACGCUGAGGAGCGAAAGCGUGGGGAGCGAACAGGAUUAGAUACCCUGGUAGUCCACGCCGUAAACGGUGGGUACUAGGUGUGGGUUUCCUUCCUUGGGAUCCGUGCCGUAGCUAACGCAUUAAGUACCCCGCCUGGGGAGUACGGCCGCAAGGCUAAAACUCAAAGAAAUUGACGGGGGCCCGCACAAGCGGCGGAGCAUGUGGAUUAAUUCGAUGCAACGCGAAGAACCUUACCUGGGUUUGACAUGCACAGGACGCCGGCAGAGAUGUCGGUUCCCUUGUGGCCUGUGUGCAGGUGGUGCAUGGCUGUCGUCAGCUCGUGUCGUGAGAUGUUGGGUUAAGUCCCGCAACGAGCGCAACCCUUGUCUCAUGUUGCCAGCGGGUAAUGCCGGGGACUCGUGAGAGACUGCCGGGGUCAACUCGGAGGAAGGUGGGGAUGACGUCAAGUCAUCAUGCCCCUUAUGUCCAGGGCUUCACACAUGCUACAAUGGCCGGUACAAAGGGCUGCGAUGCCGCGAGGUUAAGCGAAUCCUUUUAAAGCCGGUCUCAGUUCGGAUCGGGGUCUGCAACUCGACCCCGUGAAGUCGGAGUCGCUAGUAAUCGCAGAUCAGCAACGCUGCGG